rnacentral:rRNA from 1 species
CUCAUGGUUUCACGGUAUUGCAAUGAGAACAAUUUAAAACCCUUAGCGAGAAUCAAGUGGAGGACAAGUCUGGUGCCAGCACCCGCGGUAAUUCCAGCUCCACUAGCGUAUAUUAAAGUUGUUGCAGUUAAAAAGCUCGUAGUUGAACCUCUGUCUGGGGCUAGUUUUGGCUUUGGUCAGGCUAGUUCUAGGCAUCCGCCUACAAGACUUAGAGGGCAUUCAGUUGUUCACUAGGAGGAGUAGGCAUUUUACUUUGAAAAAAUUAGAGUGUUUAAGGCAGGCAAUCGCCCGCAUAUAUUAGCAUGGAAUAAUAGAAUAGGACACUUUUCCAUUUCGUUGGUUAUUGGAAUCGUGUAGUGAUUAAUAGGGACAGUUGUGGGCAUUUGUAUUUAAUUGUCAGAGGUGAAAUUCUUGGAUUUAUUAAAGACAAACUAACGCGAAAGCAUUUGCCAAGGAUGUUUUCAUUAAUCAAGAACGAAAGUUAGGGGAUCAAAGACGAUCAGAUACCGUCCUAGUCUUAACUAUAAACUAUUCCGACUCAAUGUUUGACUGGCUUAUAUAACCAGUUGGGCGUUGUAUGAGAAAUCAAAGUCUUUAGGUUCUGGGGGGAGUAUGGUUGCAAAGCUGAAACUUAAAGGAAUUGACGGAAGAGCACAACCAGGAGUGGAUUCUGCGGCUUAAUUUGACUCAACACGGGGAAACUUACCAGGUUAAAACAAUAGUGGGAUUGACAGUUUGAGAGCGCUUUCUUGAUGGGUUGGGUGGUGGUGCAUGGCCGUUCUUAGUUGGUGGAGUGAUUUGUCUGCUUAAUUGCGUUAACGAACGAGACCUUAACCUGCUUACUAGACUGGCGAUCAUCAAUCGUUAGCUCUUCUUAGAGGGACUUUGGUUGUUUUAACUCCAAGGAAGUUUGAGGCAAUAACAGGUCUGUGAUGCCCUUAGAUAUCCUGGGCCGCACGCGUCAUACAAUGACUAGUUCAGAAAGUUUUCCCCUGACCCGAAAGGGGAUGGGUAAUCUUGAUAAUACUAGUCGUGUUAGGGAUCGAUCUUUGCAAUUAUAGAUCUUGAACGAGGAAUUCCUAGUAAGUGCGGUUCAUCAGACCGUACUGAUUACGUCCCUGCUCUUUGUACACACCGCCCGUCGCUUCUACCGAGUGGGUGGUCCGGUGAGAUAAUUGAACUUCGCAGGUAACUGAGAGGAAAGAUUAUCAAACCUAUCCACCU